UGACAUUUGGUGAAAAAUAACAGAAUUCGGUUUUCCCAACUUGCUCAAAUCUUCAAAUUCGUUCACUUUGAUGUUAUGGGUCUGUGUUUUUACAACCCAAAACAUUAAUAGACUCCCUAUUACACUACUUUAAACAAUCAAUUGCAUCAAUUAACAUAGAAUCGAAAGAUUUCAAAAUUAGGGAAUUUCAUACCUUUUCUAGCUUCGAUUUCUGAUUUUUUU
rnacentral:lncRNA from 1 species